AGAGCCCUGCCCAACUCGGAGAGCCUGCCAAGAUGCUGGUGGUGUCUGGUUUAUCUGAAACCAGCAAGGGGUCUGGGACAGACAUUGCAUAAACUGGCUUGAGCCUAAUCAAUUAAGUCUGACACUACAUUCAACCAGGUUUAUUUCAAACUGGCUUCAGCUGUUCUCAAACUGGUUUAUGUUCACUGGACCAUCUGUUCUGUUACAGGUUUAAACUGUUACAGGUCUGAUCACUUAAACUGGUUUGUGUGUAAUGUCUGUCCCUAGCUUAGUUGAUGUCAGCCAAUAAUUAUUAAAGUUCAGAAAAGUUAUUAGUAGCUGAAAAUACAAUACAAUAACAAAUCUUAGGCAAUUUUCACUUUAGGAAUUUCUGUUGUCUCUUUCUAUGAUACAUCCUUUCACUACUAUACAACAGAAGUGUUUACAGAAUGCCCCAUCCAGCACCAGACAAAUGAGAAACUGAUUACAACAGAGGUUUGUACAGGUGAUUGAAGAGCAGAAGAGAGAGGAUUAUCACAGAACAUACAGUUCUUGAUCAAUCUAUAUUCUAGUUAGAGGAAGAAAAGCCGUAACAUGGCAGGUGGAGAUUUUACUUUGGGGAGUAAUUUUUUCCCUGCUGCGGUUGUGCUGCCACUGGACUUCCAGUUUGCUGCUGUGUCCUGCCAGCUUGGGAGCUCUUCUCUCAGAGAUACCAACUUGGCUCCAAAUCACUGUGGGCUUUUCAAGACUUAGUUAUGCAAAAUACAAUGUACAAAAUCCAAAUCUACCCAGUCUUCAACAAAGAAUCUGGCUAGUUUCACAGCCCACCCUCACCAACACCUCUGAUUUUCUGUAUGCUGUUUAUUUUUUAUGACAAGCAAGGACUUAUUUGGGGGUGAUAUGUUCUAUUGGACCAACUGCAUGUUUAGAAUAAAUUUAGACAAGCUUUCGAAUUAAAGCUAUUCUUGCUUCCUUCCCCAAAACUUCAUCCCUCUCCAAUGUACCACGUCUGGUAUGAUGGCCAGAACCAGAGGGGUUACUAUCAUGAGCAAUAAUUAUAUGCUCUUGGAGACAUCCAGGCAAUUGUCUAGCAGUUAAGAUUAGCUAAUCCAAAGCUUGCAAGUCUGCAACCCACAAGUGGAUUUUGUCUGUCACAGUUUAACAGAAGUUUUGAAUCUGUUUGCACUGAUCAUGGGACUGACUGAGCCCCCAAAAUAAGUAAAACUACAAGAUUAGCUGAUCUAACAGGUUUCUUAAAGGUCAGCCAUAACAAGAUUUGACCACCUAAUAUAAUUAGCACAUUCCAAGGAAUGAGAAACCAAGGGGUUGAGCUUGGGCAGAGUAAUGCUAAUUUCAAACCUCAAAGUAAUGUGGUGUAAUUUGCUUAUUGGGUGAACCCGAGUUUGGGCAGUAACCUUUCAUGAUAAUUUCUAACACCUUUUAAUCCCAUACGGUAACAGCUAUAGGGCAAGAUUGUGAGUGGCUCUAAAGCCAACAGAUUAGCAUAAGAUAAGGCAUAAAGGAACACGCAUGUCAAGUAACCAGUUUGAAGGAUGGGACAGGAGGACCAUCACUGUACCAAGCCUGGACCCCGGAUUCCCAGUGUGAGCGAGGACCGGAUCCUGACCAAGGGAUCUUCCCGGUGACCCCUUGGACAGCACUGAUCGGGAACACCUGACUUUGCUGGAACAACUUGGCACACACCUGGCAUAGAGGGACUGCCAAUAAGUUGCCAACCCCAUAUGGGAACUCUUUGUCAUUCUAUCUCUUAUUACUAUUCACUAUUAGCUCUUUUAUUACUGUACUAUCUAUUUGUUGCAUUAACCUUUCUGUUAACUGCUGUAUGCUAAGCUAUAAGUAAAUUUGCGUGUACUUCACUCCCAACUCACCUCCUUGAUCCUGAACCCAGCAGCCUAACGGCUGAUACGCUCACAGUGCCUAGCCGGCCUCUGACAGUCUGGCAUUGAAAAAAUUCAUCUCACUUUAUUCUAACCUUGCAAUUGAGCCAAUAAAAUAUAUCAUCCCAAAUACAUCCUUGCCUCUUGCAUAAUUUCUGGACCAUUUUGACCAAAACAGUAGUCUAACACCAUCAUUUUCUUUUUCACAAAAUAUUGCCAGGGGCAACUGGGAAGACAAAUCAUUGACAGGGCACAGCCUAUU